UCAGAACAGCACUGGUAGAUGUAACGGCGAGGUACGCCCCGGAUUUCUCUCCACACCCCCACCUUCAGGACUGAGGUUCUCAUUCCUCCAGCUACCAGGAUCAUUGCCUGCCGAUGGCGCCUAGCUCUCGGGAUCUAGAGGCCCUGGUGCCCAGAGGGGAAAUACCUCUCUUAGGGCUUACAGCAAGAAUCCCUUUCGACUCUGAGCUACAGCUGCAACCUAGUCACUGUAGAUUACAUGUACCAAAGGCAAAGAAGAGAGUCACCAUCUGGCAGACAUUCUCAGAUGAGUGAAAACUGAUGAACUCCCUUGUGAAUCCUAACUGGAGACUCGCACCUGUCAGAAUCGCAUCUGACCGAUGCUCAGAAAUUAACUCACCUGUGGGCAUAGUGAGCAGAGGCUGAAGGGGAGG
rnacentral:lncRNA from 1 species